rnacentral:rRNA from 1 species
UUGAAUUACCAGCUCCUGUACGAUCACCGAAGUUAAGCAACGUCGAGCCUGGUCAGUACCUAGAUGGGUGACCGCUUGUGAAUACCAGGUGUUGUAA